AUUUCUCGAGGAAAAUAAAAAUGUGUCCUUAGCUACCCUGUUUUGAGCAGCAAUAUGCAGCCUCUUCCUUCUAAGAUUACCUCUGAAGAAUACCGUUCUUGGCCAAGGACACUGAGCAGUUAAAUCUGCCUCACUAAAGAGAGAUCUUGUCUCCAAGAAAUACGGAUAAGAUGGGUAAAAUCCUCACUAGCGAAAGAAUACUUUAAAACCUGCGAGAGCCUUAGAAUAGCUUCCAAUAAAUCUAAAAGAGAGGAGAUAGCGCCCAGCUUUGCUGUGGGUGUAUCCUCAGAAAAUGCAGGAGGUAGACCAUAUCUUCAUUGGACCCAGCUUCUCCUUCUCCAGAAAGGAUGCUUUUCCCUAUGACAUAAAGAGCAGCAAAAAAAGAAAAAAAAAGAAAAAAAAAUUAAAAAACAAAAAAAAAAGGAGGCUAUUUUUUUUUCACUUGUUUGAAGAAUUAUAGUAAUUUGAGUAUCUCCUGUGAGUAAUUCCUUUUUGUUUUUAAUUAUUCCACAGCACGUGGAGUUUUCAAUAAUUUAUUCAAGUUUUGCAAAAGUGGUUCCUUAAAAUUAUUUAUUAAAUAGAAUCUUUAAGAAAUCUUUUGGAAGUUUUACCUUUCAUGCCGAACAUACUUUCAAUGUGUAGUAAUUACUAACAUCCAUGUAAUCCACUCAUAUUACUGGGGUUUCUUUUGUUACUCAGAAAAAAAGGUUUUUAAAAAUCUCUCAUCGAGAGGGUUUGUGGCAGCUUUUUGGACUGAUUCUUUGUGUUAUGCUGAGCAACUGCGUUGCCAUCCAAAACUGUGAUGUGACAGGAAGUAUUGCAUCACAUGUAGACACACUGGCUAUAGCUCUCACCCCUCACUCUUAGAGGAUUGAGACAGCCAACCUCGAAAAUGUUUGAUUUUGCGUUCAGAAACCAAACUCAUGUGCACAAGAAGGCAUAAAGUCAAUUUAUGUUUGUUUUUAAAUUUUUUAAUAUUAAAAUAGCCAACCAGAAAUCUCCAAAACUGGCUAUGCAAACAUUUUAUCUUCUCAUGCCAGGUUUAAAAAAAAAAAAAGUUUGGGCGGGGGGAGCAGGGGCAAGCUGAGAAUAAACAUGGUUCAUUGUAAUACCAGAGAAAAACUUCCAAACCAGCCAGUGUAAUCCAUAGGUAUUGUUUAAAAAAAAAAAAGGGAUGACAUACUCUAUCUCCUUGAAUUUCAGAGUCCCCUCCUUCACCCCAUCUGAUAGGUGUGCCAUGAAUAAGAGCCUGAGAUCCAGCUACUGGCCACCAUGGUCCAGCCGUGCGGAAGGCCCCCAACUUCAUGUGGUCACAAGGUGGCUUGGCAUGCCAGGGCGCCUGGGGUGCUUGUCCACAUUAUUUACAAAUAGCUGUUUCCUUUUGUGAAAAAUCUGGAUCCCUUCCUCUACACAGUAUUGAAACAGUGAGAGAACUCACUGCUAUAUUAAACCUACUAGUCCAGUAUACCAGGAAUGUUCCAUGUUGUUCAAAAGAGCCCUUUAGACCUGGUCCCUGGCCAGAGUUCUCUCAAACCAAAUUAGUUUAUCAGGCUGAACAGUAACUAUUAGAAACUGCUGUGUUGUUUACAUGUGGGCCAAGAGGUCCUCUAAUAUCCUUCUGUGACUUGGGGGCGCUUGUGGACCAGGGGAAGGUUAAGUGGAUUAUAGGUGCUGGAGAAAAGGAAGAAAGCCAGUACCAAUUCUAGAAAGGCUGAGAGAGCCCCGCCUGAGCACACGUCCUGGGCUCAGAGUGCACUGCAGACCCUGCUUGUGAGUGACCUUGUCUGGUCUGUACAAAUACCCCUUUCCAGGAAGGUCAGAUGUCUCUAAGUGACAGCACAUUUCCAGAAGGAGGUUGUUUCAGUAAUGUAAUUCACAUUUUCCGCACAUGUGAUACCUGGAUAUAUUUUUUUUAAUAAUAUAUUGUCAAAGGAAGGUGUUUUUAAGUGUAUUCUGUUUGUAGAUUUUAUGCUAUGUCACAUAGAAAUUUUACAAGUUUAAACUGUACCAUAGAAAUUAUUUUUAUAUUCUUUUCAGAAUAUGCCACAGAGCAAUAUUUUGCCCUUAUAUUCUCACAGGGUCCUCUUGGAAGGGCAACUGCAGGUGGGAAGGGGCUCCACAUUGUCUUCUUGAAAGGGCAACUGCAGGUGGGAAGGGGCUCCACACUGUGGGUUCUUGGGUUCAAGUACUUUUUGCUAUUUGUUCACAUCCCCUCUGAAAGUGGGAAUAUAUAAAUGCCUUUUCUUUUUUUAUUGGAAGCUUAAUUUUUUUUUCUUUCUGUCCAUGGAUUUUGGUACUGCACCUUGCCUCUUAAAUGAAGACUUUACAUUCACCAAGUUACUGUAGACUUUUUCUUACCUGUUCCCACCCAGUGGCUCAAGUGGAGUUCUGAAAAGCUUGUAUCUGUUACUUUAAAAAUUUAAUAUUUUCCAAAAUGAUUUAUUAGAUCUUACCAUCAGGAAGUUGGCUACUUAAGAUAAAAAGUUUCUCUACACGCCCCCCCACAACCCACCUCACCUUGUGCACAUGGUUCUCACCCCCUCGCUUAGCAUCCACAAGCUUAUUUUACAAACCACUCUUUGUAAAAAUAAACAACCUAUCAAAAUAUAUUUCACAUUAGUUAAGGACAAAAAGGGGGCUGUACUUAUCAGUGGUGGGAAAUCUGUGCGAGGGAAAAAAAGGCUUUGCCAAACCCAUGUGUGUGUUAAGUUCCAUUUUUGUGAGUCUUUCAUGUUUUACUUACAAGACCUGGAGUAAAAGCUGAAGGCACCUGUUGCACGUUUGGGAUUUCUUUCUUAUGACAUGAUUUUUUUUUUCUCCUCAUCCUGGUAUGGACUUUCCAAAAUAAGUUCCCCCAGAGUUUUUUGUUUUCCUUUUCUUUCUUUCAAUGCUUCUAAUAAAUAAGAUGAAAAUGCAUGUCACUGGCCCUGCCUUGUCGGACUUUAGCCACUGUGGCAUCACACCAUGGGUUGCUGAGGUGGCCUCUGUUCUGGCUAGAGUCUGGUUCUGCUGUCACCUGAGGGCAGACACACUGUGGAAAGACCCAAAGGUGGCUGGCACUCCUGGCAUCAGAGAGGAGUUACCCUCUCCCAAAAAGCCUUAAAAGUGGUGGCUCUCUGAAGACCCCUGGGCACCACCUCCCCAUUCAGUCCUGAACAUAAAGUAUUUUCUACCCACACUGCCCAUUUUUUUGGUGUGGGUCUUCAGGGCAGAAAGGGGAUGCUCAAUGCCAUUCUUUCAUCCACAGCCACUCCCCAACCCCAACCCCCUACCUCCGUUCCCCACAUCGCGACUCUGCAAUCCUGGUUCUGCUGGCACAGAGCAUGUCUCUGAUGGUGCUGCCUGUCGUCACAGGGGUGGGUCCAGCAUAGUUGAUCCUAGAGAGACCAGCAGGACAUGCAUGAUGAUGACCCCCCCCUCCCCACUCACCCCAAGGAGCCCCCUGCCCUGCUGCUUGGAGCACUUCCAGGGUGCAACCCUUUGGAAGACAUGCACUUCUGCCCCAAGCAGUGUUGGAAGUGGCUUGUUAGGGGUUAUGUAGUCAGCGUCAUGCCCCAAAAACAGUCGUCUUCGCCUUCCCCACUCCACAUCCAGUAGAGAAGAGAAAGGGAGAUGCCUGCAUGUACCCUCCAAAAUAACCGGCAUGUGCAGGCUCUGCAGUAUGAAUAUGCUUUACUCAGGUGGGCUGACUUAAUACCUAACCCCAGGGACAGCAUAGAAGCCAUUCUCACCAAACACUCCUAGUGAUGCUACUGUUUCUAUUCAUUCUGCAAAGUAAUUUGUUGAAAUCUGCUCAAGACCAAAGCAACCCUUUAAUUUAACAAGAACAAGUUAAUAAAACCAGCUGUUUGACAGUAUCUACAAACAGUGGAGGAUGACUUUCAAUGAAAUAGACAAGUCCUUACAAAGACCACUCCCACUCCAGUACUUUUCUGAUCUUCUCCAUUUUGUUAACUGCUCUGCCCCAGCAACAUGGGCCUGCCUCAGGGCCUUUGCAUAUGCUGUCCCUCCUUAAACCUGGAAUGUUCUUCCCCCAAACCACCUGCCUCACCGUUCCUUCCCUGCCAGUGUUUGCUCCAAUGUCACUCUCAAGCAGUCUUCCCUGACUUAAUUAAACAGACAACCCAUCUCACCCUUCUGCCACCUCCCCGUGCAUUGUUUGUGUGUUUAUUGGCAUUUGUGUGCUGCACACAUGAAUUACGCAUUCAUUCACUUUAUGUCCUUCCUCUAACGCCCAUAGAAUGUAAGCUCCACGUGGGCAGGAAUUUUUGUAUGUUUUGCUCACUGCUGUAUUCCUGCUGCCUGCAACAGUGCCUGACACAUAUGAGACACUGGAUAAAUAUUUGUUGAAGAAAUCAGUUAUUUGAUAGCUAUUAAGCCUAAUAAUACCAGUUUCAACCUUUAUCAAAUGCAUAGUCCACUAUGGUCCUGAAGAGGGGAAAAUUAUAGCUGAUAAAGCAGCAUGGUUGUUUCUCCAGCCUGCAGUCAAUGACGCCAGAUAUGACAGUGAGCACAUCAACCUGACUGCAGCAGGUUUCUUCAUGGCCGCCCCCCGAAGAUAGGAGACUCCACUGCUAACAGAAAGCUCUCUAGAAUAAGCUGCAGCAGGGGCAGUUUCCCCACAGGGCACCUUUCACAGUCAGGCACACUGUGAUGGACCUUCAUGUUGUCGCUGUGGGCCUGGACCAUUCUAGGGCGUCCUUAUAAUCAGCCCUUGGGACACUGUUUCUCCACAGUGUCUCCAGGGAGACAAGCAUUCCUUCCUAUAACAAACUCAGGUGGCAACAGAUUUGCCAGCCCAGGGAAGGGAGUCAGUCUGACCACUAAAAGGACCCACUCUCAUGUCACCAAAAGCAGGCCUACAGAGGAAGAGGAGCUUGCAUGCAGAAUAACAGGGGGCAGGCAUGGAUAACUGGACAGACAGCUAGAAGCAGCAGGGGCAGAGAACAAGGUCCCUCUGAGUCUCCUCCUCCAUCACUGGUGGGUGUGUGCUGGAGGGAUGAAGCCUUGACACCACAGAGCCAAACAACACACGCCUCCUUAGCCCUGGCACCCCCCAGAGCCGGAGGCCCUCAAAUGCAGUCAGGUGACCUCACCUGCCAGCAGGGGAAGGAGGGUUCCUCCUCUCAACUGCCCACCCCUGCAGGAUGAUUUUCACAACUACCUAACCUUGGUGUUUACUUCUAGGUCCUUUGGCCAAAUGUGUUUUCCACUAAGAGUUGUUGGCAAAAUACUGUUACAAGCUUCGUAUAGGACCUUUGUCUUACUGUAGCCUGACUAAAAGGCUUUGUCCUUCUCUUUAACUCCCUUCUGUGGUUUUUGCUGUCAUUUCUCUGGGUGCAUAUUUUAGGGUCCCUCAUGAUGGGGAUGUGAGGUCCCCUUCAUAACACUCCCUCUGCGCCUGCCCAGCAGUCAGUAAGCAAGUCACAUGAGCGUGUCUCUUUGCUUAAAUUGCCAAAUAAACAGCGUCCCUUUCACUGCUGCCCUAACAAGCUGUGGGGGGCACACUCCUGCCAGUACUCAGAACACAGGCUUUCCCAGGGCUGCCCCCCUUGAUCCACUCAAACCUUUCUUUGUGGCGGGUGCCCUAUGGUCUGCCCAAUUCUUCCUACACUUUCUUCCCACUUGCAUGGAAUGGAAUCCAAACACCUGAUUUGGAAUUAUAGCUUGGCAGGUAGGAGUGGGGCAGCUUGUCUCCACUAAUUUAUGACCAAAACAAGUAAAACAACCAUGAUCAUGGUUGGAGAUCAGCCAUGGCCUGGAGCCUCACUUUAAAAGCAAACUCCACCUCUGACAGAACCAGUCACCAUGCAACACGGGAGGGAAGCCUGGGCCCUUGGUCACAUCACCAGAGGAGCCAUUAGAGGUGCAGGGAGCCUGAAUCUGCUCACAG
rnacentral:lncRNA from 1 species